rnacentral:lncRNA from 1 species
UAUAUGAUGCAGGUGCGGCCAGGAAAAAAAAAAAAAAAAGACAGAAAGAAACGGAAAAAGAAAGAAAAAAAGUUGUGCUAAGAGGUAAGGUAAGAAUUGGAACUCAAACCCUCUUUACCUGUUUCCUUGAUUUUUUUAUUUUUGCCUCCAGUGCUUGUGGGGUAGGAUAUUCGGUGCUGAUGGAGGCUUGGGGCUAAGACACCCUCCAGGCACAUUUCAGGGUUACCUCUUUGUUACGAGGGACUAUCUCUUUUUCUUGUUGUUCUUUUGUUUUUAGUUUUAAACGGCCACACUUUUGGCAUAUGGAGGUUCCCAGGCUAGGGGUGGAAUCGGAGCUGCAGCUGCCGGUCUACACCACAGCCACAGCAACGUGGGAUCUGAGCUGUGUCUGUGACCUACAUCACAGCUCACAGCCACUGCGGAUCCUUAACCCACUAGGCAAGGCCAGGGAUCGAACCUACAUCCUCAUGGCUGCUAGUCAAGUUCUUAACCUUCUGAGCCACAACGGGAACUCCCACGAGGGACUAUCUUAAAACAGGAAGCGGAAGAGGCCGUGAGCCAGCUAAGCAGAUGUGCUCUGCUGCGAUUCAGACAAGGGGGAGAGUAGAAGCCACGUUUCCGCUGCAACCUGGAGUUUCCCUUUCUAGGCAAAAAAAUGAGCCGCCAGGAAGCAUCUGAAAAAACGUUCAACCAUCUCAGUCACCGGGACAUGCGAAGAAACCCACAGGGAGACUCACCCUCAGCACAGCUGUGUCCUAAAGGACAGGCCAUCACGGGUGCUGGGGCGAAUUCACAGAAACGGGAAUUUUCGGACAUUGCUGGUAGACACGAAAACUGGCACUGCCACGUGGGAAAAUACAUUGCUGGGGCUUCGACAGGAAAAGGAAGACUCACCCGGUGACUCGGCCACGGCACUCUUCGGCACUGACCCCAAGGAACACAACACCGGUGCUGUUUAAACAGCACCUCGGAUGCGUAUUUUCCCAGUGGCGUUUGUCCCAAGAGCCGAAAACUUGGAAACACACCAAGCAUCCAGCCUGGGAAGGGAGGAUAAACAGAACGGGGUCCCGUCGUGCAAGGGAAUAUUAUCCAGCCAUUAAAGCAGACCAAGCGCAGAUACAGGCUUUGUUGCACAUAAAUCUUGAAAACACCGAGCUAAGUGAAAGGAACCAGCUACAAAGGGCCAGGCGGUGUAGGGCUCCAUGCACACGAAAUGCCGAGGGCGGGCUGCGUAUAUCUGUCCGUCCCAACCUAAUUUUCUCCCCACCCCAUUUCCCCUUUGGUAACCAUAAGUUUGUUCUCUGUGUCUGUGACUCUGUUUCUGUGUCAUUGAUCAGUUCACUUGUAUCAUUUUUUUUAGCUUCCACAUAUAAGUGUUACCAUCUCUUUGUCUGAUGUACCUCACUUAGUAGGAGAAUCUCUAGGUCCGCUCCUGUUGCUGCCAAUGGCAUGAUUUCAUUCUUUUUCAUGGCUGAAUAGUAUUCCAUUGUGUCUACGGACCACACCUUCCUUAUCUAUUCCUCGGUUGAUGGACAUUUAGGUCGUUGAAUCUGCCAUCUGACAAAACCAUCAGCCAUCACCUGGUUACAUCACGGAGCUGGUUCCCCCCUCUUGUAC